UACGUAGGGGGCGAGCGUUGUCCGGAAUGAUUGGGCGUAAAGGGCGCGUAGGCGGCCUGUUAAGUCUGGAGUGAAAGUCCUGUUUUCAAGAUGGGAAUUGCUUUGGAUACUGAUGGGCUUGAGUGCAGGAGAGGUUAUCGGAAUUCCCGGUGUAGCGGUGAAAUGCGUAGAGAUCGGGAGGAACACCAGUGGCGAAGGCGGGUAACUGGACUGCAACUGACGCUGAGGCGCGAAAGUGUGGGGAG
rnacentral:rRNA from 1 species